GAAAUGCACAAAAGACAGAAGAAGAGUACAGACCAUGUGUAUAAAGGUUGUUUCGGUCGGACACGCUCAGGCGCCAUAAAAGAGUUACGCUGUGUGUCACAUGAUCGUUUCCAGAGAUGCAGAUAGACAUCCACACGGAGAUGAAAUGGUCGUCGUUUACAGAUUUAUUCACUCUCUGACCCGUUUUCAAAAAGUACUGUUUACAGUCACCUGAAACGCCGAUACGACUAAAAACUUUUGCGUUUACUCCUGAAUUAGUUUCCAUGGUGACGGGUUGAUACCGCCUUCAGACAGACUUUGCAGCGGGGAGUGGUUUGCUCUUCAUCUGAAACUGUGAAGUCGUACCAAUUCAACACGACUGACUCGCUCUUGUCCUAUUUAACCACGAAAUUAUCACCUUCUUUUACAAACACCAUGUUUGUUUACACUGGUGUGUGUGGGAACUGGGGAGCGCUCCUGCAGGAAGGGGGAGGAGCCUACGGUGGCCUGGAGGCGCGAGACAUGAUAGAGAGGAAAAUCAAUUUGAUGAUUUUAAUUUUUUUAACAUCGUCAUAAUCAA